rnacentral:lncRNA from 1 species
UAUUCUCCUUCUUCUUUUCUUCCCUGACAAGUGGGCCCAUGGCCGGCACUUUCCUCGGGCCGAGAAGUGGCCUGCCAGCUUUUAACCUGUGGCGCAUGGGCCUUUUUGCGGCAGCUCCCUUUUUGGGCCGGCUCCCUCCUCUCUCCUCCUUUUUAACCACCGGCCCAAACUAUUUCACUCAUACUGGGCCCAAAAGCCGGUCCACCAAACUUCUUUUC